UACGUAGGGUGCGAGCGUUGUCCGGAAUUACUGGGCGUAAAGCGCACGCAGGCGGUCUGCUAAGUUUGGAGUGACAGUUGGUGGCUUAACUGCCAAAGUGCUUCGAAAACUGACAGACUUGAGGGCUUCAGAGGGACACGGAAUUCCGGGUGGAGUGGUGAAAUGCGUAGAGAUCCGGAGGAACACCAAAGGCGAAGGCAGUGUCCUGGGGAGUACCUGACGCUCAGGUGCGAAAGCCAGGGGAGCGAGCGGGG
rnacentral:rRNA from 1 species